UUGGACUGCUAGGUGGCCCAU
rnacentral:miRNA from 1 species